rnacentral:lncRNA from 10 species
CUCUUUUGAUUCCGCCCCGCGGCGAGGUUGCUGUGAUAAUUGGUCGGCUUUGACCCUUGCAGCAUUUUGAUUGGCUCCAGCGUGUACGGGGUCGACCUUGGUGGCGUAUCAGCUUGGUACUCUCAUUGGCUAACGUUCCAGGGUCGAAGGACAGCGUCUGCUCCUUCCGCUGCUGCCGGCAGAUAAGGAUGCCCGUGGCAGCCACAGCAGUAGCAAUGAUGGCGGCGAUGAUGCCCCCGAUGAUGCCGCCUGUGGCCCCUGCGCCUGCUGUGUUGGGGGUCUCUGCAAGGAGAGGGACAGCGUGAGGGGGUCUCCAGGAGGAAGCCACAGCUCCUUAUUCCAAGCGACCAUCCCACCCCACAUCAUCGCCUGCCUGUCUAUGUCCUCUCCCAUGGGCAGGGGACAUUCUUUCAUUCAACUCAAACUGCUGAGCAUGAGGAAGGAGCGAGGAUGUGUGCCCCGCAUGGGAGAUGAGUGGAGAACAAAACAUACAAAGUGUCUACCUUCAUGGAACUUUGAUUCUGGUUGGGCAGGGAGAACAACAGUAAGCAAACCAGUACAAUAGCUCACAUGCCAGAUGGGAGUAAGUCACGGGGGAUACAAAAAUAUACAGUGCGGAAGUGAUAGGAGGUGCAAAGUGGGGUCCCCGAAGGUAGUGGGAGGGCCUCUACCUUACUGUAAGGUGACAACUGAGCAAGGGCCUGAAAGAGACACCGGGGAUGAGUCAUGAGAGUGUCUGGGGGUAUCGCAGGCAGCGCAAACAGCCAGCGGCCCUGCAGGAGGCUUGUGGGGCUCUAUGGUUUUUUUUGAGACGGUCUCGCUUUGUCACCCAGGCUAGAGUGCAGUGGCAUGAUCACCACCAACUGUAGCCCCAAUCUCCUGGGCUCAAGCGAUCCUCCCACCUCACCCUCCGGAGUGGCUGGAACUACAGGCAUGUGCCGCCAGGCCCAGCUUUUUUUUUUUUUUUUUGAAUUUUUUUGUAGAGAUGGGGUUUUGCCAUGUUGCCCAGGCUGGUCUUGAACUCCUGGGCUCAAGUGAUCCUCCCGCCUCGGCCUCCCAACGUUCUGGGAUUAUGCCGUGCUCGGCCUGCCUUGUAUUGUUUUUAAAGAACAGCAAGUAGACUGUGUAGCUGGGGCAGAAUGAGGCGGGGCAGAGUGGGAAGAUGAGAGGAGAGGAGACAGGACCAGGGGCGGCUAGAAGACAGAGAAUGCGGGGACAGAAUUCUGGGAUCCAGAAUCACCUCUGGGGACUAGAAUCUCCUUCCACUUAUCAGGAAGGGGGUUAGGGCUUGGGGCAGUGACUGACGCCUGUAAUCCCAGCGCUUUGGGAGGGCGAGGCGGGCGGAUUGUUCAAGACCAGCCAGGGCAACGAGCACAAGACCUCAUCUCUAGAAAAAAUUUUAAA